UACGUAGGUGGCAAGCGUUAUCCGGAAUUACUGGGCGUAAAGCGCACGCAGGCGGCUUUUCAAGUUCGACGUGCAAGCUCCCGGCUUAACUGGGAGAGGUCGUUGAAAACUGAGAGGCUUGAGGCAAUGAGAGGGGUGUAGAAUUCCCGGUGUAGUGGUGGAAUGCGUAGAUAUCGGGGGGAAUACCAGUGGCGAAAGCGGCACCCUAGCAUUAGCCUGACGCUCAUGUGCGAAAGCGUGGGGAGCGAACGGG
rnacentral:misc_RNA from 1 species